GAUUACCUCAGUAACGGCGAGUGAAGCGGUAACAGCUCAAAUUUGAAAUCUGGGUCUUUCAGGCUCCGAGUUGUAAUUUGUAGAAGAUGCUUUGGGUGCGGUCCCGGUCUAAGUUCCUUGGAACAGGACGUCAUAGAGGGUGAGAAUCCCGUAUGUGAUCGGUGGCUUGCGCCCGUGUAAAGCUCUUUCGACGAGUCGGGUUGUUUGGGAAUGCAGCUCUAAAUGGGUGGUAAAUUUCAUCUAAAGCUAAAUAUUGGCCAGAGACCGAUAGCGCACAAGUAGAGUGAUCGAAAGAUGAAAAGCACUUUGGAAAGAGAGUUAAACAGUACGUGAAAUUGUUGAAAGGGAAGCGCUUGCAACCAGACUUGCGCGGGGUUGAUCAUCCGGGGUUCUCCCCGGUGCACUCGGCCUCGCUCAGGCCAGCAUCGGUUUCGGUGGUUGGAUAAAGGCCUUGGGAAUGUGACUUCUUUCGGGGAGUGUUAUAGCCCUCGGUGCAAUGCAGCCUACCGGGACCGAGGACCGCGCUUCGGCUAGGAUGCUGGCGUAAUGGUUGUAAGCGACCCGUCUUGAAACACGGACCAAGGAGUCUAACAUCUAUGCGAGUGUUUGGGCGUCAAACCCAUACGCGUAAUGAAAGUGAACGGAGGUGAGAACCCUUAAGGGUGCAUCAUCGACCGAUCCUGAUGUCUUCGGAUGGAUUUGAGUAAGAGCAUAGCUGUUGGGACCCGAAAGAUGGUGAACUAUGCCUGAAUAGGGUGAAGCCAGAGGAAACUCUGGUGGAGGCUCGCAGCGGUUCUGACGUGCAAAUCGAUCGUCAAAUUUGGGCAUAGGGGCGAAAGACUAAUCGACCAUCUAGUAGCUGGG
rnacentral:rRNA from 1 species